rnacentral:lncRNA from 7 species
CUCUUUUAUCUUUCAGACUUUGUGUAAUGACUGGGGGAAAAAGAAAAAAAGAAAGGAAAAAAAGACAAGCAGGUGAAAUGUUUUAAAUGAAACCUAGAACUGUAAGGAAAUAUACUCUUAUGUAUCAUUUUCUGAUCACCAUAAUGUCAGCUGGGUGAAAGGCUUCAGAGUGGUUUACUUCUGAAGAAUCACUUGCCUGGAUUUCAGCAACUGCCUUUGGGAAGAGCCUGGAACAACACAUCUGCUGACACCCCUGUGUAAUCAAAGGGAGGCAUUUAUUCAAGAAGACGUUGGUUUGGUGCAGUGCUUGGAACAAAACAAGAGCAAACAAAACCCAACAGCGCUGAAUGCUGCACCCUUGCUGCAUGGUGGAAGUAACUUGAGGAUUUUACUGAGAGUCUCAGCAUUCAGCCUUGCAAUACAUCUUCUCUAAUAUGAGAACUGAUCAGCUUGCGUUCAUAGCCACAUAGGGAAACGAAGGUAGAAGUUGCUUGAAUCCCGUUAGCUCUUCUGGCAAGAAGCAGGUAUGGUUUCACCCAGCUCGUAACCUAUUGCUUCCCUCACAGUCAUUGUUAUUCCAGGCCAAAGCUUAAGCUCCACAUCGGAACUGCAGGGACUUAGAAUGCUCUUCCAAAGGUCAGAUCCUGCAGCCAGGCAAACUAAACCUCCACCUUAGUAGGAUUGCAUCUACGGCAAGGACUGCAGGGUUUGCAGAAAUAUAGGAAAGCACAAAGCAACCUCCUACAGCAAAGAAGGCGGUGGGGCAGAGUUCUACCCAACUUCCCUAUGUGUGAUGGGCAGACGCAGCCAGACUGUGCAGCUCAGCCAUCAAGGGCCUCACCAGCAGCAAAAAGUGAAAUCUCAAGGCACCAGCAAUGCUAAACCUGAUCAGAAAAUGGCAGUCUUCAGCUCCAAGCUGCAGGAAAUGGAGGCAAACGUCCUCAUCCGCCUGCACGGGAAAAUGUGUUGUCCCAUUUUCUGAGGAGCAAAAGUUCACUGCAACAUGUGGUGCAUGGGAGGCGUGCAUGCUCGAGGGGAGAAGGCACCAUGACGUUAGGUAUGGGGAAUGGUGAAGUGCUCUCAGCUGAGUGUUUUUUCUUUUCCCCUUUUGCACCCUACUAUUUCUGUGCCUUGCAAAAGGAGGUCAGGUGUUGCAACUCUCCCCGCCUUUUGGGGUGUUUUUUGGUAUUGCACUGAUCGACCACUGUGCUUCUAAUAAAGCCAUCAAGAGCGCAACCAGGAGCUCCCUGUGCAGCUUAUGUGAUGGAAAUCGUUGCUCCAGAGGGCUCCUUAACUUGGGGCUGGAUGGACUGAAAACCCUUCCAAGUUAUUCUCUCCUAAUUCAAGUCAGCUGAGGCAUCAAAAUGUCGGGCGGAUGGACAAGAGCUUUUUCUGGAGCCAGCCAGCUUGCUGCUGCUGCUAAGGCUAUUGCAGUCAACGCUUAGAGGUUUCAUUUUAUUUAUUUCUGAGCUUUGCAGAAAUUAGCCUUUACAGAAGCACAUUAAAGGAGACUCCAGAGUGCAAGAGCCCGUGCUCUCAAGUCCCUAACUUUGCAAUAAAACGAAUU